rnacentral:lncRNA from 1 species
GACUUACAUCCACAAACAAGAAACAACAACAUUGGCAAAAACAGCAACAAACAAUGUAGCACCAUUAACUAUGUAGCCAUUCAAACCAACAGCACUCGAAUCAUCAGCCGGACUAUCCGAAGACCCUUUUGGAGCAUCAGAAGCCCGAACACUUUUCUCCGGCUUAGUCGGUGCAGGAGCCUCCGCAGGCGCAGCGGUUGGACCUUGUCCAAAAAGUGCCAUAGGAAGAAGCACUUGAUCAACCUGAUACACUGCAAGCUGAUUAUCACUAUAAAUAGUAUUAGAAACAGUUGUAUCAAUCACACCAGUUGUUACAUUAACUUGAUUUCCAGAAGUAGUAACAUUAAGAGGAUACUCUCCAUCAUCACUGUUUCCAGCUUGUGUGUGUAGAGGGUUACUUGCAGUUUGAAACUGUGAUAUUGUGUAAAGUGUUGGUAGAAUAUGAAACUGUAGAAGUUGAAGUUGGUUUUGUGUGCUGAUUGAGUUUAGUGUUCCUGAUUUUAGACUCGAGAAGGCAUUAUCUGUUGGUGCAAAAAUUGUUAGGCCUUGAUUUGAGUUGUUGAGUUGUGAGUUGAUUCGGUCGGAUACUUGUGUUGCUUUUAGUAGCUUGAUGAAUGUUGUGAAUUGUCCUGCCUUUUCUAGGACUUUGGUUAUGUUUAAUGGUCCUGAUGGUGCUGGUGAUAUAGCUGGUUGAGCUGAAAUUCUUUGAAACAAUGUCACAAUGAUGAAUACGUUGAGAAAAAAGAGAGGAAAGAAAUUGAAUAGCUUAGCCAUUGGUAUGAAAAAACUAGAAGAUUAGAAGAAUGUGUUUUGUUUGAAGUGGAAUGAAGGGUAUGUGGGACCAUGGUAAUAAUUUUGACUUGAUAUUUGCCAAAGAUUGUUGA